rnacentral:lncRNA from 1 species
CAAUAUUUUCUUUAUUAGGUUUCUCAAAUAUGCUUCCUUUCUCUCUUUUGCCGUGUGUUAGAUAUUUUCUGUAGAGGCUUUUGAAAUGUAGUGCCAUACCCAAUGCCUUCCAAAUUAUUAGAAACAUUGAAUGAAAACAAUGCAUUAUACUCCAUAAAAGGAGAAGAACAAAAUACAAAGGAACCAGACUGAGUUCCAUACAAAAGUCACUCCAUUGUUGGAGGAGAAGAAACCUCCAUAAGGAGGGAUUGGAGAGAAACUAGUCUACAAUUCAAUGAUUAUUUAAUGUAUACACGGUAUGUAUUUAUAG